rnacentral:rRNA from 1 species
UUUAACCUCAAAUCAGGUAGGAUUACCCGCUGAACUUAAGCAUAUCAAUAAGCGGAGGAAAAGAAGCUAACAAGGAUUCCCCUAGUAACUGCGAGUGAAGCGGGAAGAGCUCAAAUUUAAAAUCUGGCGGUCCUCUGAGCUGUCCGAGUUGUAAUCUAGAGAA